AUCUUUUUGUGAUUCAUCAGCAUGAUGAUUGGGUCUUCACACAAAAGUUUAAGAUGUGCCUCCCUCACAUCUUAUUAUCGUGUCAGCAUAUUUCCUGUCUGAAG
rfam:Homo sapiens chromosome 18, GRCh38 reference primary assembly.